rnacentral:rRNA from 1 species
UGAGGAAUAUUGGUCAAUGGGCGAGAGCCUGAACCAGCCAAGUAGCGUGCAGGACGACGGCCCUAUGGGUUGUAAACUUCUUUUAUGCGGGGAUAAAGUUCGCCACGUGUGGCGUUUUGCAGGUACCGCAUGAAUAAGGACCGGCUAAUUCCGUGCCAGCAGCCGCGGUAAUACGGAAGGUCCAGGCGUUAUCCGGAUUCAUUAGGUUUAAAGGGAGCGUAGGCCGGAGAUUAAGCGUGUUGUGAAAUGUAGUGGCUCAACCUCUGCACUGCAGCGCGAACUGGUCUUCUUGAGUACGCACAACGUGGGCGGAAUUCGUGGUGUAGCGGUGAAAUGCUUAGAUAUCACGAAGAACUCCGAUUGCGAAGGCGGCUCACGGGAGCGCAACUGACGCUGAAGCUCGAAAGUGCGGGUAUCGAACAGGAUUAGAUACCCUGGGUAGU